AUGGGAGCACAUUUGAGACGAAAGCAUGUGGGGGCUGAUGCAGCAGAGGAAGAGCACCGCGGUCAAGUGAGCCGUCAUUUGGAAGAGCCAGCCCGAAAAAAAACAAGCAACGAUGGACAACUACAUGGGGAACAAGACACUCACCCCCCAGCAAUUCAUACCACUUACAAACUCUAUUCUAAACAUGCUGGUAAAAGACAUGAGGCCACUAUCCAUGGUGGAAGGAGCAGGCUUCCAGCUAAUGCUAAAAAAUUAUUCUGGACUGAUAUUUUGCACUGUUUAGCUAAUUUUAUACUGCUGACUGUGUUCAUGAGCAAUAAAAUAGAUUGCAGUCAACUGCACAAUUCUCUUAUGUUUUUUUUUCUUAACUGAAAUGCAUCCAUCACUUGUAUAGGUUAAAUAGCUAAACAAUAACAAACCGAUUAAUCGAUUAAUCGAAAAAAUAAUCGACAGAUUAAUCAAUUAUGAAAAUAAUCGUUAGUUGCAGCCCUACCCCAAUCCAACCCCUUAAAGCUGAGUGUCAAGCAGGGAGGCAUUGGGACCUUUGGUAUGACCCGACUGAGAAUCGAACCUGAUCUCACAGUCCCAGAGAGGACACUACCACAAGGCCACUGAGCUGGUCCCAUAUUGUCCUUCUAUCUGUAUUUGUAUUCGAAAUGGACUAAAGACAGCUCAUGUAAGAGGUGGUAAAAUAUGAGUAAAACAAAAUAAGUUAAAUAAAUGCAAACACAGGAAGUUAUCCAGUGUGAUCUACACCUAUGUUAGCUGAGAUCUUUUCCUGUCUGUAAGAAGUUCCUGACCCAAUUCCAUGAUCUCACUGAGUGUGUUUACAUGCAGCCAGUAACCCUUUUAAAACCCGAAUAUUCACAAUAACCCGGUUCCGCAGGUCCAUGUAAACACCGCUAUAAACCAGGAUAUGCUCAUAACCGGGUUUUUAAAAACCCGGUUACUACACCUGGGGAAACCCUUUUCUAACCCGAAUGUUUGGUCGUGUAAACGCAUAUCGGGAUAUCCCCAUCAAAGCGUGUGUUCUGUGCAUGCUCUGUUCGCAAGGAAUCUCGGUCUUUUGAGUAGCGAGACGUCUUGUAUGCGCCAGAACACCGGAAGUUAACAACAAGUUGGGAGCAACAUGGCGAGUCGCGACACAGCACCACACUUUUGGAGUUACGAGGAAACUAAAACGCAAACAAAUGCGGUCGCUAUCUCUUCCGAACUGGGAAACAUGUUGUUUUCACGGAUACCGGAACAAGAACCGGAAAUGACACAUAUUGCGUCUUGACGUAGUCCACACGUCCUGACGCUACCCCAACAUCCGCAUUUAAAUCGGGUUAUGCAAGUUAGGGGUAACUUUUUCUAUUUAUGCUUGUAAACGGGUUAUUCUGAUCAACUCAGAAACCCGAAUACCGACCUUAACCCGCUCAUAACCCGGAUAUUGGCUGCAUGUAAACGUAGUCACUCACACACACACAAACACACACACACACACACACACACACACACACACACACACACACACGAUGGCCAUAACUUUGCUUCAUGGUGCUGAUCCAGAAUAUUUACCUCAUUAUUUAUUUCUAGUGUUAUAAUAAUAACACAAUAGUCAACAAUAAAAUAACAUAAUAAAGUAAUAAAACAUAUGCAGUUAUGCUCACAUUCACUUUUACCAUCUCUUGGUGGGCAGCAGAACAUUUAUCACAUGUUUAACCAUCUUAUGACCAUACAUAUAACUUAACUGGUAUUUAUUUUUCUGGCUGUGAAAAAGUACCAAAAAGUGCAAAAUAUUUGUAACUCUGCUCCUUUUAUCAGAACAACCUCAGCCUUCGGUGUCUGGUUUGUAUUUAGUAUUUAUGUUUCUCAAACUCUGUAAAAAUGCAGCUUAAAUUUUUUACAUUUAUUACGAAAUAGGAACCUCAAAAGGACGUGGUCAAACUAUUUCAAAUGAACAGUUUAAACUCUGAACUGUAUCACAGUCAGAAACAGUGUGAACCCUGGUGUGUGUGUGUGUGUGUGUGUAGGAUGUGAGUUGAGAGGAGCAGCAUGUUGGUGUACUGACGGUGAUUCGGCUGCAGCCCACUCGACUAGGACAUUAAACUCACUGAGCUGCAUGCUGACUUAGCGACUGCACUCUGGAGUCACAUGUGGAGGCUGUUGUAGACAUUUAAAAUAUUUUUCUCUGGGGAGUUGUCCUUUUUGAAUGAGGAACAUUCAAUGUUUAACAUCCACUAUAACGAACUCAGCUAAAACACUAAGUCCCAAAUUUGACCUGCGUGUAGUGAUGGACCACUUAGCUUGUUUAUUUUCUGUUACUUACCGGGCCGGCUCUUCCUCUGCUGCAUCAGCCCCCACAUGUUUCCGUCUCAGGUGCUCGCUUAGGGACGUCGUGCUUCCGUGCCAUGCUAGGUGGUUUUGGCAUAUUCUGCAGGUCGCCCGUUUUUUGGUGGCAUCUAAAGUGAAGUGCUCCCAUACCCGUGAUGUUUUAGUCCGGGGUUUCUCUUCAGAUUUGUCGCUUUUCUUCUGUCUUACUUCAUGUUCCGCCAUCUUUCACAGCCAUGCACGUCAGUAACGUGUUAACGUCAUGAAAACCGAGGGUACUUAUUGGCUCGUUUCUUCUUCUACGGCUCCACUGGUAGAUCAGUGGCUCAUUACUGCCACACACUGGCGGCAAAUUGAACAGAUUGUAACCGAUGUCAGAUUGUGGUAAAAAUAUAUUUUAUGCGGUAAAAUGUGAUUAUUAAACAACUAAUCGAUGACUAAAAAAGUUGUUAACUAUUUUAAUAAUCGAUUAUAAUCGAUUAAAUCGAUUAGUUGUUUCAGCUCUAGACAUUUUGUUUUUGUCUUUAGCUCUGCAGACCAUUUAUUGCAGCACAGAAAUACUGAAUAGUUUCACAACUUUUAAAUGAAAAAGAUAAUCAGUCCUUUGCCGUUCUCCUUCCUUUCCCCUUUCAAAACAAAACAUGGCACCAUGGGGGAUCGAGCCUUUGCAGCCGAUGCCCCCACACUUUGGAACUAUCUCCCACUAAACAUCAGGAAUGCCGUCUCUCUUUCUACUUAUAAGUCACUGCUUAAAACCCACUUCUUUAAACUGGCCUUCUCUUAAGAUCAACCCAGCAUCCCCAGUCUGUUUACUAUGUUUCAUUUUUAUUAUGUGUUUAUUGCAUUUUUUGUGAAGCGUCUUUGAGUGACCUAAAAAGCGCUAUACAAGUUUGAUGUAUUAUCAUUAUUAUCACUUACAACCGCAGAAAUAGCCAGGCAAAGUGUGUCCCCACUCCCUGUUCAGCCAUUUUCCUGCACCAGAUCUGGCUUUUACAGCUGUUUCACACCUGUGUGAAUAACACAGCUGUCUAAGAGAAAAACCACUUCUCCAACUCAUUUACUUAUUUACAUAUCUGAAAGGUGGCAGCCCUACCUGUGUCCAUGCUGUCCAGGUCCAGGUGGUGAAGAACACACGAUGAAGCAGUCCCAGCUGAUGGAUGAUCCUGAAGUGGUAGCAGGUUUUCUUUAGCCGUGUUUAGCUAACAGCUGCAAUAGAAACAAAGCAGGAGAGCUGAUUAAAAUGCUGCUUCAGAACAACGCAGGAGAUUAAAGAUCCAACGCUUUGGUUCUGAUCAGCUGAGGACAGAUCCAGUCUGGAAAAGAGGACCUUUGAUCACCAGAGUUCACGGAGUAGAGCUAACCGCUUUUUCCUCCAGAGUCACAUUCAGAUUCGGGACUUUUCCGUCGGAGAGUGUGAGCAGGAUGGAUAAGAGAGCGAGCAGCGAUCCUGCAUCAUGACCAACUCAGAUGAGCGAGUCUGAUAGAGGGAACCUCUUCAAUCUGAUGAAAGCAGCAAAACGAGCGCGUUUCUCAGAGAGACCAAAGGAACAGCAGCAGAUCCAGAGGGCAGGAAGUCUAGAGAAAAGCUUUUCUCACCUACAACCUGAUUCUGGAGCUCCGAUUGUCACGAAGACCGCAGAAUACUUCUCUGGUUCUGGAAAGAACUCCACCAAGUGUUUGAGGAGAAGAAAGUUUCCACAGCCUGGUGAGAAGAUUUCUGCAGCAGCAAAUAGUCGCUUUAGCUGAUCAACUGUCCCAGAUACUGAAGUGAAUACAUUUCUACUGCAGAGCCUCAAAUAUUCCCCUCACACAGCAGAACAACAAUAAGCUAGCUCUGCUAACAGCUUUCGGUUUCUGCUUCUUCUGGUGGUCGGUGACUAGCGUAAAGGUGCACUAGCGUUACCUGCUGGAGCAGAUUAAAACGCACCUGUGUGAUCAGAAUGGGACUGAAAACACACAUCUGUUAAAUUUUCAUUAUUUUAGGCGGUCUCUUCAAAAGCCACGAAAAACCAGUAAAAUACUUUUUUCUUUCUGUUUUUUAAUCUAAAUCGGACCAGUUUUAUUUGUAUGAACUUCAAACAAACUAAAAAAUGCUACUUUCUAUAAAGAAUGUGAUAGAAACUUUUUAUGUUGUUACUUUUAUUUUUAGCAGCUCUGAGAAGCAAAUAAAGUGUUGGGAAGGUGCUGAUAUCUCUUCCUUAUUGAUGCUUUUCCUACUCUGGUCCAGCAGGUGGCGGUAGAGCACCUUUACGCUGCUCACCAACAGAGACUGUAGACCGCCAACCGGAAGCUAUUAGCAGCAUUAGCUUAUUGUUUAUUAUCAACGUUAGCUUGUUGCUCGUUAUCAGCGUUAGCUUGUUGUUUGAACC
rnacentral:lncRNA from 1 species